GAUAAUAAUGGCUGUGUAUCCAAAGAUGACCAAUUCCACUCCAAAUUGUUUCAUGGAACCAACUACCAAGUUAUGUCAAUUAUACUGAUGAUGAUCAAAUUAUUGUCCGGAAUAAUGUAUUCAGUCUUUAUACUAUAAAAGAGAAAUAUAAUUAUUAUAAUUCAUUACAGUUUAUGGGUGUUUUGUAUGGGGAAGCAACUCCCAAAAAGUGUCCGGCAAUGGAUAAGGUGAUUUCUACAUAUAUCUUGAAGAAAAUAUAAGAAAAUUGAAGUUUAUACUUUAAUUAAUUUAAGGGUUUAAAAGGGAAAAUUAUUUACGUAUUCAGUUCAAAAGGAAAGUCCGGAGCAAUUAAAAUUCCAUCAAUACUUUCCCACAGAAACAGGAAGGAUAAUAUAAUUUAUAAUGUAAUAUGCAAUCGCCAAUCACGUUUUCAGGAUAUGGAGGAAAUUAAUUGAAAUCAUAAUAAUGGUUUUACAUUGAGUAUUUUUUGCUUGUUUUUAAAAGUCUGUACCGAAAACAAAUGUACCGUUAGGGUACAUCUACUUAUGUAUAUAUGAAUUUAUUUUCAGACAAAGGCAUUCAUAGUUAUAAUUAACUAAUAUUCAUAAACAUUCAAUAAAUUAAACUUGUAUUUUAUAAAUGAACUACAUAUUUUGAAAUUGGUCGUUGAUGAUUAAAAGCUUUUCCAGCCAUAAACCAUAUUGGAGGGCGUAAGUUAGGUAUAAUGUUAAGCAACUAGAAUUAAUAAAUUGGGUGAGAUCCAGCAGAUUAAGUAACUAGGAGUGACGUGGAACUGCAGAUGUGAUGGAAAGAGGUCAACGUUGGAUAUCACGCUGUUGCAGUUGUUAAUAUAGACUGUCCCUACUGGACACACACAUUAUACAUAGCAGAUCUACGAAUAUAAGUUGACUAACUUUGUUAUUUACGACUAUUUGGACAGCUGGUUGUCCCUUUUCUCAACGAAUCAAAAUUUUUGCUAUGAUCUUCUGUUCUCUAUAAGACUAGGGAGUGCCUAUAGGUACUUACUUAUUUUAUGAAAAAUGUUGAUUAUGUAGGUACUGCUCCAAAGCGCCUAAGUAAGACUGGCAAAUACAAUUUUAGUAUUGUACUGAAAGAAAGAAUAACCCUUUAGCAUUCCCAUCUAAUGCAUAAAACGCCCUUGUUAUAAUCGUUUCAUUAAAAUCAUCUUUGAAAGGGUAGUACUGUAUUGGUCGAGCGAGACCACGAUCAUGCUCAACCUCACUAAGUAGAGCUAGGCUAUAGAACCUAUAAUAAUUAUAAUAAAAUAUAAGUAAUCAACAACACUAUAGAAAUUAG